AUUGAACGCUGGCGGCAUGCCUUACACAUGCAAGUCGAACGGCAGCACGGGAGCAAUCCUGGUGGCGAGUGGCGAACGGGUGAGUAAUGUAUCGGAACGUGCCCAGUCGUGGGGGAUAACGCAGCGAAAGUUGUGCUAAUACCGCAUACGAUCUAUGGAUGAAAGCGGGGGAUCGCCAGACCUCGCGCGAUUGGAGCGGCCGCUAUCAGAUUAGGUAGUUGGUGGGGUAAAGGCUCACCAAGCCGACGAUCUGUAGCUGGUCUGAGAGGACGACCAGCCACACUGGAACUGAGACACGGUCCAGACUCCGACGGGAGGCAGCAGUGGGGAAUUUUGGACAAUGGGCGCAAGCCUGAUCCAGCAAUGCCGCGUGCAGGAUGAAGGCCUUCGGGUUGUAAACUGCUUUUGUACGGAACGAAAAGGCUCUGGAUAAUACCUGGGGCUCAUGACGGUACCGUAAGAAUAAGCACCGGCUAACUACGUGCCAGCAGCCGCCGUAACAC
rnacentral:rRNA from 1 species